AUGUAAACUUGUUUGGAAGGUUUAGAGUAAGAUUUUUGAUUUGUUAAGAAAAAUAAUUUUUAAUAGUUGACUGAUUAGUAUGGUAAAUUUAGAUUGAGACUAUAGUUUAAAAGUACCGUGAGGGAAAGUUUAAAUAUAAUGAAAAAUUUAAUUUUUAAAAAGAAGAUAUAAAGUUUUGUACCUUUUGUAUCAGGGAAGAUUUAAAUUUUCUAGUUAAAUUAGGUAUCCCGAAAAAAGAAUAGCUAAAAAAUUAAAAUUGUCUUAGUCGAAAAUAAGUUCUCAAUAAUUUUUUAGUGGUGAAAUAUUAGUCGAGUCUUUUAAUAUCUGGUUAUUUCAGAAAGAAAUUUAAUUUUGUCUGAGUAUAAUAAAAUUAACUCAGGUAAAUAACUGGAGGGAAAAGCUUCUAGUUAGAUAAUUGAACAUAAAGUUAUAUAACUGAAUUUUAUUUUAACUAAGCUUAGAAGUAGCUAUGUUAAUAAAGUGUUUUAACUAAAAUUUUUUAAUAGUUGAUAUUUAUAUGAUUUUUGUUUGUUAGUAUGAAAUUUUGAUAAUAAAUGUUAUGUUAUUGGGAAUAAUGAUCUUAUUAGUAUAAUUGUCUUUGUUAGGAAAUUGAUUAAAUAAAAUAAAAAUUGCAUUUUGUUAACAAAUUGAGGAUGCAAUAAAGGAACUCGGCAAAAUAAUUUCUGCCUGUUUAUCAAAAACAUGUCUUUAUGAAAGUUUAUAUAAAGUCUAGCCUGCCCAGUGAUGUUUAAAUUUAACGGCCGCGGUAGUAUGACCGUGCUAAGGUAGCAU
rnacentral:rRNA from 1 species